rnacentral:rRNA from 1 species
CUACGGGAGGCAGCAGUAAGGAAUAUUGGACAAUGGGCGCAAGCCUGAUCCAGCCAUGCCGCGUGCAGGAUGAAGGACCUAUGGUUCGUAAACUGCUUUUAUACGGGACAAAACCCCCGGUCGUGCAUCGGGGUUGAUGGUACUGUAAGAAUAAGGGUCGGCUAACUUCGUGCCAGCAGCCGCGGUAAUACGAAGGACCCAAGCGUUAUCCGGAUUUAUUGGGUUUAAAGGGUGCGUAGGCGGAUUAGUAAGUCAGUGGUGAAAGCCCGCAGCUCAACUGCGGAACUGCCAUUGAUACUGCUUUUCUUGAGUACGGUUGAAGUGGAUGGAAUGUGUGGUGUAGCGGUGAAAUGCUUAGAUAUCACACAGAACACCGAUUGCGAAGGCAGCUCACUAAACUGUAACUGACGCUGAGGCACGAAAGCGUGGGGAUCAAACAGGAUUAGAUACCCGAGUAGUCC